GACCAUCGCACCGCGCCGCGCGUGGGGAUGCAGCACACCACACGAAGGAAAAGAACACCGCUCCGCGCGAGGUAGAAAACGGCAUCGAACCCGCGCCCCUCGCUCCUCCCUCCUUCGUCCGCCGCCACUCCCUCCCACCUCCUCCUUCUGCGCCCUAGGAGCCCCGCCACCGACUGCUACUCCUCCACCGCCUCGCCUCUUCCUCCUCCUGGCCUUCCCAUCGCUCGGGCGCAGGCUGCCGUGGCCAAGCGCUUCGCGGGACGGGCUUCCCCGCCUGGCCGGCCUCGACGAGCAUGGCCUCGAUCCGGCCUCAGCUUGAGGACCUCGAGCCGAGGAGUGCGGCCUCGAUCGGGACUCGGCAUCUGGGGCGACGGCAGAGGAGGAGGGGAAAGGAGGGGAGCAGCAACCAACAUCUGGGGCGGCGGUGGCUGGACUCCAUGAGCUGGCCGGCGACGUCGGCGGUGCUGGAUUCGAUCUGCAGGAGAGAGAGGGAGGCGUGGCUUCGAAUUGGAGAGGGACUCCACCGGCGUCGGCCUGGGCGAGGAUUGGUGAAGAACUCCGUUGCCGCUGCGUGCCGUGCUUCUGGAUCGAGCGCUGCCUGACCAAGGGAUAAGAGUAUGAGGUAAAACUAGCCACCAUGCUCCUGUGCGGGCUGCAUCUCCACAUCUCCCGUUUCAUUAUUUCACCAUUGCUGCCUCUUCUCCUCUUCGUUGCUCUGCUUCUUCUCCUGAUUUCUCCUUUUCAUUUUUUCUCUUUGUGGCGCCGCCGGGGAUGAGAGGAGCAGCUGCUGAAGCAGGCGCGGUGCUGGUGCACUGCUGGCGAAGCGGUCGUCGACGGUGCCGUCGACGUCGUCCUUGGCAGAAGGUUGGUGCUUCCUCUCCUUCUCACUGCAGCUACCUAUACAUGUAUUAUUCUAGGAUUUUGCAAGUUAAAUACUCAUGUGUGCGAACUGAAAAGUUCUCUAUGCAACAUCUAUUGCAGCUUCAUCGGCGUCAGCUUCAUCACCAAGAGGACGGACUCCGGAAGGCAGCCUCCUCCUAAGGCGCCAGGACCGUUGCUGACCAUACGAUUGGUAGCCUUGGACAGAAGAGGGCCAGCAACAAACAGAAGCAACCACUGUCCUGUCCAGAACAUGGAUCAGCUUUGGUGGCAUCCGAUGCUGCCAGACCACGGGGUUAGAGCAGAGGAAGCUGACAUGGUGUUCGACAUUCAGAUGGUCAUUGUGAUCGACCAGAUGCGGCGCCUCAUGUCACCCCGAGCCUCCAGGGCUUGUUAGCGGUGCUCAUAAAGUAAGAAUAUGCUUGCAAGUGCUCGUUUCCCAUAUGCUUGCCCAUUCCUGUCUCGCAUCAAGCUUUCAUUUAUUUCCCUAAAAUUCCUCUAAUUUGAUGUGUGCAUGUCUGAGAAAGAAAUUAGAGGAAUAAGCUAUGGUAUGUCUUGGGAAGUACAUUAUUUCCCUGGCUUGUGAAAUUAAUGCGCCCAAAUUCGCGUACUGUCUGGUUUCGGACUAACAAUGCCUCCUUGUGUUAUAUUGCAACUAAAAAAAGAGAUGGACAUAAUAAAGAAGCUUGGUGAACAAAUAUAUAUCUGAACCCUCUACACAGUAUAGAUGCUAUAAUUUCUGUUAAAUGGAAGUUAGAUUCAGAUUCUUAAAAAUAUUAUCCUUCAGUCCUAUACAUACAAGGUACUGCCUUGGCAUGGAUAUAGCCUGCAACCCGCAUCUCUAAACAACGCGAACCUAUCCAUAAUCAUAAACUUGUGUAUUGAUCCUCCAUUCAGAUUUCUUAUUAGCUCAUUCUGGCCUGUGUGAAUUUUUUGUGUUUGCUUUACAAUGGCCCAAUGCAUUUCGGUCGAUAUAUAUGUGAUGCCAUUGGUUGGCCUGGAUCGGAUAGCUAGGUUUGAUCAAUUCGGUUAAUAUAUGUUUAUGUUUCUGUUUAGGUUUCCGCACCUUUUGAUGCGUGUGCGUGCGGCCAUUGAGUAACUUGAUCUGUUUUCCUGGCUAUUCUAUGUGCAUUUACAUGUAUAGGAUAGUCAUUUUGAUUCAGUUAAGAUAUGUUAAGGUUUCUGUUUAGAUUUCAGCACCUUUUAAAUGUGCUACCAUGGGGUAACCUGAUUCCAUUUUAAUGGCAACGGGACCUGCAAGUGCAUGGCCCACUGCUAAUAGUCCUAGAAGCGAUCGAAAUUGUUGCUAUUUUGACUUUGUCUGCUACAUGGACUGCUAUUCUGAUCUCUAUGUUUUCCCAUUGCUUCGUUCAGUAUGUCCACGUAAAACCAAACCGGACCGAAGCCGAAACCAAAAAAACCAAAAUCUCGGUUUUUGUCAAUAAUACAUGAAAUUUCGGUUUCUGCUUGUACUAACCGAACUAAGUUCGGUUGGUUCGGUUUCUAAUGCGGGUAGCCGAAACAAAACCGAACACUAGUGAGACACAGAGAGUCAGAACGCAAACGCAAGGCAGGCGUGGAGCAGACGGCGCUGUGCUUCUCGCCUCGAUGUUGCUUUUUUUUAUAGGGCAAGGCCUCGACGUUGCUACUGGACCAAGCCAGCCAGCCACUAGCCCAUGUGCGUGCCCACUAGCAAACCUUGGACGUUGUUAAAAAUAUGCAAACUUUCUUUGACCAUGGGCGGACCAUGUGCAUGCAUGCUAGCCCGCAUGUGAAUAGACAACCAGAGACACCUUAUUCCUUUAGUCCCACCUCGCCUGGACGAAGACACGAGGCAAAUUUUCUUGGCUAUAAGAGUGUGCCGCUGGCACAAAUGCUUGAAGCAAGUUUAUUUGGUGUAAACCAAGAAACCGAACCGAAUAUUUGGUUAACUGAAUUUUCAGUUAGUUAUUUUGGGCUAUCAUUUUCGGUUUUUGGUUUUGCUAACCGAAUUUGUGAAAUAACCGAACGGUAGAAACCGAACCUCUUGUACGUUGAAGUAUGGGGAUGGUACAAAUAUGUUAGAAAAACUAUUUAGUGGUCAAAUGAUUUCGUUAAUCAAUACACCACACUUAUCAAGCAGUAUAAGCUUCAUAUAUAGCGUGAAGUAAACCGCAAGAUGUAAACUUAAAAAAGAUGCGAAAAUAACAAUUACUUUUUCAAGAUUAGAUUUGUUUGAAUGUGUCAAUAAACUUUUGAUAAAGAGAAGUAAAAAUUUGGACCAUUUGGAAAAACACCGGUUUUCCAAAUGCAUAUGGAGAUGUGUGUCCUUUUGGGGAAAGAAUAUGGAGAUGUGUGUUUCGAUCUACAUGGUCCAUACUUUUACUAAAUUUCAAAUG